UACAGAGGUCCCGAGCGUUGUUCGGAUUCACUGGGCGUAAAGGGUGCGCAGGUGGCAUGGUAAGUUUGAUGUGAAAGCCCCGGGCUUAACCCGGGAACGGCAUUGAAUACUACUGAGCUUGAGGGUUGGAGGGGGGACUGGAAUUCUUGGUGUAGCAGUGAAAUGCGUAGAUAUCAAGAGGAACACCAGUGGCGAAGGCGAGUCCCUGGACAAUACCUGACACUGAGGCACGAAAGCCGGGGGAGCAAACAGG
rnacentral:rRNA from 1 species